UAUCAUUUUUUCUCUUUAGAUUUUUAUAUUAUCUCUUUCUUCUCUAAGAUAUUAAAACAAAAGAUGUUAUUUAGGAAAAAUAAAUAGUAGUAUAAGUAUUUAAGAUUUCCUUUAUCUUCUAUUUAUCUUUUCUCAAGAAAAAUUCGAGUUUGUUUUAUGUCUUCUUUUGCAUGGAGCUUGGCAAAAUGGAUCCAGUGAUGCAUCACAUACAGAUAGGUAUACGUAAAGGAGCAGAAUUUUAAGAUUUAGGGGUCUAUAAUUGUCACGCCCCCGAUCCAAGAUUGUGAAUCGAGGGUCAUGACAACCGCCGC
rnacentral:lncRNA from 1 species